CCCUAUUAUAAAAGAAAAAAUAAGAUUAUUAUGGAUUGAAAAUUAAAAAUUUUGGCGGUUUAUUAUUAAUUAGAGGAGCUUGUUAGUUAUGGAAUUUACUCUUUGAAUUUUAUUAAUAUAUUGUUUAUUUAUCUCCGUUAUUAAAUGGGUAAUUAAAAAGUAUUUUAAAUAUAAAUUUCAGGUCAAGAUGUAGCUUAUAUUAGAAAAUUAAGAUUAGCUACAGUUAUGUAAUAAUGGAUUUUUAAAAGAAUUUUGGAGUUGAAAUUGAAUUUGAUUGUAAUAUUUUUUAAGAUGAAAAUGUGAAUGAUGAUGAUGAAUGUA
rnacentral:rRNA from 1 species